AUUGAACGCUGGCGGCAUGCUUUACACAUGCAAGUCGAACGGCAGCGGGGGCUUCGGCCCGCCGGCGAGUGGCGAACGGGUGAGUAAUGCAUCGGAACGUGCCCAGUCGUGGGGGAUAACACAUCGAAAGAUGUGCUAAUACCGCAUACGUCCUGAGGGAGAAAGCGGGGGAUCUUCGGACCUCGCGCGAUUGGAGCGGCCGAUGUCGGAUUAGCUAGUUGGUGGGGUAAAAGCCCACCAAGGCGACGAUCCGUAGCGGGUCUGAGAGGAUGAUCCGCCACACUGGAACUGAGACACGGUCCAGACUCCUACGGGAGGCAGCAGUGGGGAAUAUUGGUCAAUGGACGGAAGUCUGAACCAGCCAUGCCGCGUGAAGGAUGAAGGCGUUCUGCGUUGUAAACUUCUUUUAUCUGGGAAGAAACCACAGAUUUCUAUUUGUGUUGACGGUCCAGAUGAAUAAGCACCGGCUAACUCCGUGCCAGCAGC
rnacentral:rRNA from 1 species